UACGUAGGGGACGAGCGUUGUCCGGAAUUAUUGGGCGUAAAGAGCGUGUAGGCGGCUCUGCAAGUCCUGCGUGAAAUCUCGAGGCUCAACCUCGAGCGGUCGUGGGAAACUGGAGGGCUAGAGUGCGGGAGAGGGAAGUGGAAUUCCAGGUGUAGCGGUGAAAUGCGCAGAUAUCAGGAGGAACACCGGUGGCGAAGGCAGCUCGCUGGGACGGUACUGACGCUAAGGCGCGAAAGCGUGGGGAGCAAACAGG
rnacentral:rRNA from 1 species